GUCCACGCCCUAAACGAUGGCAACUAGUUGUUGGGGAUUAACAUCCUUAGUAACGCAGCUAACGCGUGAAGUUGCCCGCCUGGGGAGUACGGUCGCAAGAUUAAAACUCAAAGGAAUUGACGGGGGCCCGCACAAGCGGUGGAUGAUGUGGUUUAAUUCGAUGCAACGCGAAAAACCUUACCUACCCUUGACAUGCCAGGAAGGCCGCAGAGAUGUGGUUGUGCCCGAAAGGGAACCUGGACACAGGUGCUGCAUGGCUGUCGU
rnacentral:rRNA from 1 species